AGAUGACCAGACAAGAUGGAAGAAUAAUUUGAGGACAGGUUAAUUUCCAUGUACAUCUGCAACCUCUUUACUAGGAGUCUGGGUUUCACACUGAAAGAUCACACCAGCUGUUUACCUACAGUGGAAUUGAUGACAAAGGGUAACAUGCAUGCGCAGUGGAGGGGUUGCCAUGGAAAUGCUAACAAUAGGCUCUGAGGAGUCCAGAGACACAACAGACCUGAUUUUCUUCAGACAAGCAACAGCAGGAGUGCUGCUACCCUGGAAGGUGGAAUCUGGGCUGCCGUGACCAUUCAUCUCCACUGUGUAACUAGCUUUCACUGGCCAGCACAGCUGGUUAUGCAUGAUGAAGUACACUACAAAAACAUAGAGGCCCUGGAAGCCAAAGGGAUCGAUGGUUAAUGACUAGUUGCAGGCCCCCUGCUAUCUGGAAACACUGAAUACAAUUUUUUGCUCCCCUUGCUGAGUGAAGCAAAAAGUUGCUAGAGAAGGUCUACAAUCAUUAUUGAACGCUGGACAUCCAGGCAUGACCAUCUCCGCUAUUCACCCAUAUGGCAAACUGGUAACAAAAAUUAAUUUUUCAGUUAUUUCUGAAUUUCAUGAAUUUCAAUUUUCAUGAAAAUGACAUAUUGGUUUCUUACUAUAUCUGCACCACUAUCGAUUUAUAAAUCAUUAGCUUUUCUAAUAAAUGCAUUAUUUAUUGGAAAUAUAACAUUUAAGACUGUAUAUUGACUUUAGUGAUCUAGGUCAGGUAAAAGAGUACAAACAAUGAAAGGUCAGAGUGGUGAAAUUAGGUCUCUGAGUGGUUGAGGCCAGCAGUUGUCUGGCCCACUUCCCACGAGAGGACAUGCUUCUCCAAAAAACAAAGAGAGGGGAAAAGGGCUGAUGAGAUGCCCAGUCAGAGGGCUGGCUACGUGCCUGAAUGCCUGUUUGCAGCUGCUGCUCCCACAGGGUUAAGCAGACUUUAAAAACAACACUGUGCUUAAGCAACAGCCUGAGGUAUAAACAGGGAUUAUCGCCAUGUGGCUCUUGGAAUCGGCUACGCCAGCCUUUGUAGUGCUAAGCUUUCCUACAAACGGAGUCAAACCGGCUCUGAAAUCACCUUUUUCAUUAGUAAUCAGAGACUCUUUUUUUAAUAUCAUAGGAUACCAAGUUUCUAAAAAAAAAAAAAAAAAAAGUUAAGACCAGGAGUGUGUCAUCGGAAUAGAACAGCUGCUAAUGACGAACAAGCAGACUGGUUAUCGGAUGGGACUGCAAUGAAAAACAGGCCAUGCAUUGCAGAGAAAGAGUGAAUAGACAACAGGCCCAGGUUUGCUCUCUGCGCCCAGCUCUGCAUGUGGAUGGUCGUCUUCUCCCUUCCCUACCUAUCUAAGCACAUUCCAGACUUUGGCUUGGGAAUGUGUUCACACUAAUCAGGUUUUUCAGACUCGGUGUUGACACAGACUGCAGAAAUACCAUGGACAUUGGUAUUUUAUAAAAUGACUAUUAAGAGCUUGUUUCAGAUUAAUUAGUAGGUUAACAAGAUUAUUUAAAACAGUUGUAAAUCCUUGGGGUGAAACCAAUUUUUUGAAUUUAUGCAGUUCUCAGCAUAAGAACCCAAAUUCCUACAAGAUAGCAGCUUAACAGCAAGAAAAAUAUUAAAUCUUAAAUGCUAUGAACUCUGAUCAUGAGUUCACGAUAAUUUGAGAACAAACUCAAAUCUAAUCCUGUCUGGCACAAGCCUAUCCAUAUGAUAUUAAAUCUGCACAUAAUAGAAAUUGAGUUCUUUAAAUACCUACGUGGACCUGAUUUAAUUCACAGUGCUGAUACUUAACUUAUAAUGACAUAGAUCUUCACACAGGGAAGGAAUUUAUAUUUUGAGGGGUUAACCGUUACUUUCAAUAACAGACUAAAAUGCAUCUGUGCUUAUUAAUAUGUCUUAGGUCGUCCCAGCCCUGUCACACAAGCUUACACACAAAGGGGGGGGCAGCUUGAUUGGGUGGGUUUACACCUUCAUGACUGGGGGUUCGGCACUGUGAAUGGAUUUUGCAUCUUCUCUCUGUGGCAUGUGGGUUUUCUCUAAGUAUUUUGGUUCUUUCCCAUUGUCUAAAUUGGGGUUUAUAAACAUCUUAUACUGUAUGUGCCAUGUGGUGGACAAGCAGCCUUGUGCUACCAAUUACAGGCUUCAGGUCCCUCUGUAACCCUGACGUGGAUAUAAGUGAUCAGAGGGUGGAUGUAUGACAUAUUCCAUACUUAUAUCUGUACAAGAAAGCAGUAAGACUACUGUACACAUGGUUAACCUUGUUCAUUUAUGCAUUCAUUUAUCCAUUUUCCAAUCCAUCCAAACCCUCAUCUCCGGACUGAGGCAACAGUGCUACCAACUGAGCUCACAUUAAUGUCAUGGUGAAUAUCCACCGUAUCAGCAUCUAUACCAUAGUCCUGAAUGUUUUUAUGAUUAAUAAUGAAACCAUAAAUGGGUUUUAAGGUGUUCUACAACCUACAAUCUACAACACCUAACAGCAGUAACAGAGUUAGACAGAAAUUUUCAAUGACGCAUACUAUUCUGCUCAUGACGAAAUGUUCUAGGGUUGUUGGUGACUCAGCACAUUUUAUUUUUAGUAUCAUGAUGUUCACUGCCAGCUGACUAUUGAAAAUAUGCAAUAGAUGAAUGCAAUUACAGUAUAUGCAUUGAGCAAAGUAUCAACUUUGCCAUUUAACAGAAUUGGUUUGAUUUAUUAGUAGUUUCAUUUAAGCUACAGGAAGUAAUUUGAAGUACAUUACAAAAAAGAGCUUCCAUAUAACUAUUUACUUUCAGGUGCAUUUACUGUUAUACAUCUACAAGUACAUAAACAUCUGCAUUAACAGGCAUUUACAUUUUAAGAAAACAUAAAUAAGAAACACUUGUUGACAAAGUACCUGGUCUAAAAAUGUAUUGACUCCAUAACCUUAAAGUUUCCCUCAAAUAACAGGAUCCUUUGUCUUUGGUGCUAUACAGUACAAAUAAGUUAAAGUAUUACUAUGAAUAUAGAGGAACAAAAAGCUAAAGACUAAACCUGAGGUAGUACAAUGCAUCCAUCCAUCCAUCCAUCCAUCCAUCCAUCCAUUCAUCCAUUUUCUAACUGCUUAUCCUGGAUAGGGUCACAGGGUGCCUGAAGCCUGUCACAUGGAGCAUCUAGUUGGGGUACACCCUCCGUGGGAUUCCAGGCCAUCGCGGGACAAUUACAUACACGUACACACACACACACACACACACACACACACACACACACACACAGAGCUAAACUUUACAUUAGAUAUAUGGUAAAUUCUGUAUCCUAAACAUUUCCUUAAAAGGAAUAAACAUUUUCGUUUGGAAAUAACAUAGAUUUCUUUAGACUUUAAAAAAUAGCCUUCUAUCAGAGCCCUGAAAAUAUUCUUUUGAUUUAAGUACACAGGAUACAGUAUUUAUGGUCUGGCUGUAAAACAAAAUGGGAACCACGCCCACAAACAAAAAAUAAGAAUAUUAUCUGGCAGAUCAUAUUUUUGGAGGCAUAUUUUGUGACUGUCUCUAUACUGAUGGGGUUGUGAUCGGGUUUGAAUGCAACACAGUUUGUCCUGGAAAUGUCCAUGAAAAAUAUUUGCUAAGUCAUUCUUAGUGUUGUUAUCUGGGGAACAUAUUCACACUAUGCUUGACUUUUUGAAAUUCGUGCUGCUGAGUGGUGAAUACCUGGCAGCAUCCCAUAGUACCUGCUAUUUACAGUGAGGACAUAACAAGCAAAGCUAGCAUACAUCAUUCAUCAGUUGUUGACUGUCCUGCUCACACACACACACACACACACACAUGUGCACACACACACAGACACACAGACACAAGUCGUGUAAUCAUAUCUUUAUGGGGACUGUUCAUUCACUUAUAUGGGAGAAAUGCUAACGGUAACUAUGACAACCUUAACCCCUACCCAGCCCUAACCAUAACCAUAAGUAACCAAACAAAAUGAAAGGGUUUUUACAUUUUUAGUUUUUUCAUUGUAGUCACGGAUUUUUAUCAAAUGGAGUUUUCCCAUAUGGGGACCAGGAAACUGAAAAAAAACAGGUAUUCAUCACGUUGUGGGGACAUUUGGUCCCCACAAGGUAAGGUAUACCUGGACCACACACACAUACACACACACAUAUGGACACUGGCACCACAGUGCAUUUUGAUAUGAAUGUUUUCAAAGGACCAAAAAGACCAUUUGUAUGUUACCAUUCUAAUAAAAUAAAUACCAUAAAGCCGCAAAGGCAUUCUUGUAUAAAAUAUAUUAGACAUGAUUUGGCACUGGAGUUCAAGAUGGACACCUACCUGCGCUGUUGGUUCGCCCUCGAAAGACGUCAUCAUAGGCCUUCCACUGGUGGGUGACUUGAUAGGCGUGAAUGAACACCACAAGCACACCCACCAGACAGAUCAAGGGCACAAGCGCUGCUGUACAAAGAGCUGCAUACACAUUCGGGAUGAAACACCUGUGGAGCAAAAACACCACGCACCAGCCACUGGAUCACUCUGCUGCAAGGCAUUCCUUCUGUCGCCUCACAUCUCAAACACUGCAUCUGCAACCCAUCAGUGGGUAACGUAACUUGACCCUUUAACAGCUGCAUAGACUGAUAAGCAAUGCUUUCUUAUUGUAAAGGGAAAACAAUUUGAACAUUCAUCUUCAUGCGGGACUCAGUACUCAUAACAAUCUGGUCAUUUUCAUUCAUCAUUGAGAAACAGAAGCAAUGAAGCCUCCACAAUAUUUACUAUCUGGGACUGGACAGCACAUGGGACUACAGAAUGCAUAAUCUCCCAGUAAACAUAAAUAUAAUUUGUAUUUUGUAAAGGCUUAAAUUUACUGUACUUUCCAUGAAUGGCUAUUAAAAGUCUUCAAGCGACGACUCAAAACUUUUCUUUUUCAGAAAUACCUGACGUAGAACUUCUAUAUUCUUUCUCGACUCUUAUUCUGGUGUGUGUUUAAAAAAAAAAAAAAAAAAAAAAUUCUGCACUACUCAAUGGAGUUCUCAGAGAUAGUAUUCAUAGCUUGGGUCCUUAUUGAGCUAGCAUCGGAAAUUCAUUGCAGAGUCUCAAAGCACUUAUGUAAGUCGCUCUGGCUAAGGGCGUCUGCCAAAUCCUGUAAAUGUAAAUGUAAGUAGUACCCCCAUACUUCAGUAUUAUUGCCUUGAAAAUGAGGCUUUGCUACUGUACAUAGAUUGGCCAAAUGUCUGUUGAUAUUGGAGAUCUUGCACUGCUAGACCUUGCAUUAGGGGACAGUGUGAGGGUCAGUGGGCUACAUCUCUGUGCCUGUGAUCAGAAGCUUGCUGGUUCAAGGCUGGCCUCGGCACAUCUGUGACUUAUUGAGCAAGGCCCUUAAUCCCCAGCCUGAGUGCCAUAACUGGAAGCUGCCUCUUAUCAUCAAGCUUGCUCUCAUGGAGAGCAAGAUGAGGGAGGUGAAAAGAAAAUUUCCCCACAGGGAUCAAUAAAAGUAUCUAUUAUUAUUUCAAUACCUGGUGUAGAAAAUGACAUUGAAUGUUAUUUCAUUCUUGGUUAAUCUUUUACUUUCUUCUGUGAACUUAAUCUCACUGUUAACUGUCAUUGCAAGCAUUCUGGGGAACUGUCAAAUGGAGUCCAUGUUAAGCCAGGUAGUUUAUCUUGGCAGCAACAUAACUUGGCAUGAGCUAGAACUAGGCAGUAACUAAUUUUAUGGAAUUAACACUGAUAUUUUUAUUAACCCACAUCUAAAUCCCACACCCAUGUCAUGUAGAGGGCAGCAGUUAACCUAGUAGUUCAUGAACUGCACUGAUGUCCAGAGUUUGCUGGUUCCUUUUACUAUGCACGACUAAUUUGUUUAUUUCAAAUUUUGUCACUAAGAGGGUAGGAAAAUGAGAUAAAUGCCAUUGUUUAAAUUUCUUGUUCAGAAGUGACUAUUAAUGAAUCACAAAAUAUUAAUCACAGGCUGACUCCGUUUAUGAGAUUCCAACCUUUUUUUGUCUUCAAUGCUUGUAAUGACUUUUACUAGAUUAUUACUCUGCAAUUACUUGUAAAUAUAUUUGCUCAGUCUAUUAUUGUCAUCUGUUGUCUCAUCCACUGCAAUAUGAAUAUGUCAGUGACAGUAAUAUAUAACUAUAAAUGAACCAUAAGCGUCAAAGAAAACCAUGAUAUGACAUAUUCUGCUGUCAUUUUCGGAGAGCAAUUUCACAAAGGAUGAUUGUACUAGCUGCAACAGAAUUUGCCAUCCAAAUGCAGUGUUCAAGAAAAUGUGUCAAUCAGCCUACAAAGUUAAACUGAGCAAACAUGAACAGAAGGGAAUGUAACUUAAAAUUGCAUUAAACUUCCCUAAAUUACCUAUGAACUCAUUUUAGAGAAUGGUAGUAUGGAAUUUGAUCAGGUAAGUUCCUGUAGAAAAUACUGCAAUUUAUCAUUUAUUAUAAUGUAAUUUAUUUAUUGCUGUCUUUAAAGUUGCUGGUGUUUUGCAGAAUUACAGGUAGGUGUAGUAAUGGAUGGUUAAAAGUGAAAUAUUGGCAGGAUUAAUAGAAGUAAUCUUUGGUCUGUGACCAGCUUUCCCACAGGCCUCUACUUUUGUGUUGUGAUGCUGGGAAUUUCAGAAAAGAGUUUUUUCUUAAUCUAAGGAAUUUAUUGUCAUCAACAGGAUGUUCCUGCUAUUCUGCAACCAUGCAAGGUCACUUCUCACAGAAAAACUGAGAUAUGUACAAUAAAGUUAAAAAGAGAACUCCCCAAGAACCAUCUGAAUCUUCCAGGAAAUAAUCAAAGACGACUUUUCCCAAGAGACAUGCAAUAGAUCUGAAUAUUUCAUCGUUGUGUUGGGGUUGUCAUGUUUUAUUCCAGAGACAGAUAACUGUAAAACCAGAGAGACCACUAAGAGUUUUCCCUUAGGCAGCUCUGCCAUCUGAUACUUACACAUC